AAUAUUGGACAAUGGGCGCAAGCCUGAUCCAGCCAUGCCGCGUGAGUGAUGAAGGNCCNNGGGGUNUNAAGCUCUUUCACCGGNNNNNAUAAUGACGGUCACCGGAGAAGAAGCCCCGGCUAACUUCGUGCCAGCAGCCGCGGUAAUACGAAGGGGGCUAGCGUUGUUCGGAAUUACUGGGCGUAAAGCGCACGUAGGCGGACAUUUAAGGCAGGGGUGAAGUCCCGGGGCUCAACCCCGGAACUGCCUUUGAUACUGGAUGUCUGGAGUAUUGAAGAGGUGAGUGGAAUUCCGAGUGUAGAGGUGAAAUUCGUAGAUAUUCGGAGGAACACCAGUGGCGAAGGCGGCUCACUGGUCCAUUACUGACGCUGAGGUGCGAAAGCGUGGGGAGCAAACAGG
rnacentral:rRNA from 1 species